GGGCCUGCGGUACGCCGCUUCAGUGAGGGGCUCCACUGCGGCCACCCGGCUUGCUGCCUUCCUGGGCGCCACUCCCCCACUCGACCCGACGCGACGCGCCAGUAGCGCAGCAUCGAUUCCUCUCGGGCUCUUGGGCGCUGCUCUGAGCAGCGUCACCCUUUACACCAGAAAGCUGGCGGGCACUAUGGGGAAAAAACAAAACAAGAAGAAAGUGGAGGAGGUGCUAGAAGAGGAGGAAGAGGAAUAUGUGGUGGAAAAAGUUCUCGACCGUCGAGUGGUAAAGGGCAAAGUGGAGUACCUCCUAAAGUGGAAGGGGUUCUCAGAUGAGGACAACACAUGGGAGCCAGAAGAAAACCUGGAUUGCCCCGACCUCAUUGCUGAGUUUCUGCAGUCACAGAAAACAGCACAUGAGACAGAUAAAUCAGAGGGAGGCAAGCGCAAAGCUGAUUCUGAUUCUGAAGAUAAGGGAGAGGAGAGCAAACCAAAGAAGAAGAAAGAAGAGUCAGAAAAGCCACGAGGCUUUGCUCGAGGUUUGGAGCCGGAGCAGAUUAUUGGAGCUACAGACUCCAGUGGAGAGCUCAUGUUCCUGAUGAAAUGGAAAAACUCUGAUGAGGCUGACCUGGUCCCUGCCAAGGAAGCCAAUGUCAAGUGCCCACAGGUUGUCAUAUCCUUCUAUGAGGAAAGGCUGACGUGGCAUUCCCACCCCUCGGAGGAUGAUGACAAAAAAGAUGACGAGAAUUAACGCUCCUGAGUACCAGCCCCUGUCACAUCUGACUGGGUUUCAGGUGGGAAGGGAAGGAGUUCUACUUGUCUUGACACCAUAGAGGUGGCUUGAGAAGAUGUCCUUUGAAGAGCCAGUAUAGUUUCUGUGCCCUGCAGCAGCCCAAGUGCUUUAAAGCCAUUUCAAGCUGUAUAGUUUGCACACCCAUCCCAGUGGAGGGGAAAGGGGAUAAGUGUUUCAAGGCAAUCUUUUCUGCACUUUGCUGAGAAAAGCAAAAGGCCUUCUAUGAAGGACAAAACUUGCAGAAUUGGGUGUGUGGGAGAGCAAAAAAAAUACUGUAGAUCUUCAAAGAGCAUCUCCACAACCCACAGCCUUCUUCCCAAUAGUGUUAACUCUGCAUUUUUACAGCGUAGCAUGUGUGUAGUCUUUGGCUAUUACUGGUGUAUUAUUUGGGGGAGGGAUGGGGAGGGGAGAAAGGGAGAUGGGUAGCAUCACUUUGAUUAACAUUUGGGGCCUGAUAGGGGAAAUGGUGAAGCAAUGGAAAAGAACAGACAACUAAUGGUUUGCUUCUAUGUCCAGAAUAUUUUACCUUAAAAAAAAA